CCCAUGCCUUGCUGGGACUGGGGACACCCCAGUGACCAGUGACAUCUCCCCAUCUCUCUACAGAAACCAAAAUACCCUCCACCACCGAUGUCUGAGGUGGAGCUUCUGCAGGAGUGAUGCCCGGCUGCCCCUCUGGAUGCCCUGGCCUGGAUCUGGUGGUGACACUCACGUCCUGUCCCUCUCCAGCGGCAUGAGGAGAUGAUCAUCCCUGGAGAACCCCCCUAAUUCCUUGGGAACCCUGGGAAUUUCCCUGGAAUAAUCAAUAAACCCCUUCAGCAAAGCAACUAUGUG
rnacentral:lncRNA from 1 species